AUUGAACGCUGGCGGAAUGCUUUACACAUGCAAGUCGAACGGCAGCACGGGGCAACCUGGUGGCGAGUGGCGAACGGGUGAGUAAUACAUCGGAACGUGCCCAAUCGUGGGGGUUAACGUAGCGAAAGUUACGCUAAUACCGCAUACGAUCUACGGAUGAAAGCGGGGGAUCGCAAGACCUCGCGCGAAUGGAGCGGCCGAUGUCAGAUUAGGUAGUUGGUGGGGUAAAGGCCUACCAAGCCGACGAUCUGUAGCUGGUCUGAGAGGACGACCAGCCACACUGGGACUGAGACACGGCCCAGACUCCUACGGGAGGCAGCAGUGGGGAAUUUUGGACAAUGGGCGCAAGCCUGAUCCAGCAAUGCCGCGUGCAGGAUGAAGGCCUUCGGGUUGUAAACUGCUUUUGUACGGAACGAAAAGCCCUGGGUUAAUACCCUGGGGUCAUGACGGUACCGUAAGAAUAAGCACCGGCUAACUACGUGCCAGCCGCCGCCGUAAUAC
rnacentral:rRNA from 1 species